rnacentral:rRNA from 1 species
AGCAGUCGCCACGGGAACACGGAGGGUGCAAGCGUUAAUCGGAAUUACUGGGCGUAAAGCGCACGCAGGCGGUCUGACAAGUCAGAUGUGAAAUCCCCGGGCUUAACCUGGGAACUGCAUUUGAAACUGUCAGGCUGGAGUCUUGUAGAGGGGGGUAGAAUUCCAGGUGUAGCGGUGAAAUGCGUAGAGAUCUGGAGGAAUACCGGUGGCGAAGGCGGCCCCCUGGACAAAGACUGACGCUCAGGUGCGAAAGCGUGGGGAGCAAACAGGAUUAGAUACCCGGGUAGUCCCUGUCUCUUAUAC